GAUUCCACCUUGCUGCAGGUCGUGGUUAAAAUGGAGGAAGAAACACCAGUGGUAGAUGGUGUCUUGGAGUCAUUGGAUUCCGAGGAUCCUCUUCAGGGAACAGUUGCCACAAGAGGCCAACUUAUCGAGCGGAAGGGGACGGCUCUCUCAAGACUGGAGUCAUAGCAUCCAAGUUUCUAAGGGCAAAAGGGAUAUUAUGAUGGACCUAUUUGUUGGAUGAUGCUUUCCUGCUUGGGCUCCCUUACCACAUUGUGAUGAAGCUGAGCUCUUCUCAUAGUUUUCCCCAACUGUGGUUCAAAAGCCUGUUCAAUGGUGAGCACCAGCGGAGUCAUGGCCAACAAAUUCUUUGCCAUGCAGAGUUGUGGAUGGGAACCGCCAGGAUCAAUGUUAUUCCUGAAGCUGAGGAGAGGGUAAGAUGCGCAAAGGAAAGUGUUACACAGUUGCCCAAUGUGUCUCUCUGCCGCCCACUCGACCACCUGUGGCGGUGUCGGGUUCACAAGGUGGUUGCGCUUGGCUAGGCAUGGCAACUACCCAGUGAGCACAUGUCACGGCCAAGAGGUUUUUGCAACUAAAAGGGCCGCGCCUUUCCA